CAGGCCCUGAAUGAAGGCUCAUCGCUUGCUGUAGCCAUAAGUUUCAAGCAGGUGCCCAGAGGAAAAUUUUCCCAUGGUCUUUUGGCUGUUUUGAAUUUCAGAAUGGAAUAGCCAAUUCACUGGGAAGUAACAUCC
ensembl:snoRNA